rnacentral:rRNA from 1 species
GACGAACGCUGGCGGCGUGCUUAACACAUGCAAGUCGAACGGCAAGGCCCUUCGGGGUACACGAGUGGCGAACGGGUGAGUAACACGUGGGUGAUCUGCCCUGCACUUCGGGAUAAGCCUGGGAAACUGGGUCUAAUACCGGAUAGGACCACUGCCUGCAUGGGUGGUGGUGGAAAGCUUUUGCGGUGUGGGAUGGGCCCGCGGCCUAUCAGCUUGUUGGUGGGGUGAUGGCCUACCAAGGCGACGACGGGUAGCCGGCCUGAGAGGGUGACCGGCCACACUGGGACUGAGAUACUGCCCAGACUCCUACGGGAGGCAGCAGUGGGGAAUAUUGCACAGUGGGCGCAAGCCUGAUGCAGCGACGCCGCGUGAGGGAUGACGGCCUUCGGGUUGUAAACCUCUUUCAGCACCGACGAAGCGCAAGUGACGGUAGGUGCAGAAGAAGGACCGGCCAACUACGUGCCAGCCGCCGCCGUAA